GGCGCCUUCACGGCAUUUAUGAUUAAUUUUAUAAUCCAGUCUGGUAGUUUUAAGAAGCGAGUUCUUGCAUCCGCCCUAUUCGAAUCGGCGGGGCGGUGGAGCGCCAGCGAGCCCAAGGUCUCCCAGGCGAGCAUGGCAGGACUGGAGGGCUCCCGGCAGGGCGCCUCGGCGUCCAUCGGGACCCCGACGGAGGUGCCGGAGAUCUUUCGGCUACAACGCCGGGCAGGUGGGGCUCGUUAGCCGUGGUAGGCAAUCUGCCUAGGAGAGCAAACUCCGAACAACAAACCCGGGCAGGUGGGGCUCGUUAGCCGUGGUAGGCAAUCUGCCUAGGAGAGCAAACUCCGAACAACAAACCCGGGCAGGUGGGGUUCGUUAGCCGUGGUAGGCAAUUCACCUAGGAGAGCAAACUCCGAACAAUAAACCCGGGCAGGUGGAGGUCGUUAGCGAAAGCAGUUCAUCUAGGAGAGCAAACUCCGAUUACAAAACCGGGCAGGUGGAGGUCGUUAGCGUGAGCAGUUCACCUAGGAGAGCAAACUCCGAUUACAAACCCGGGCAGGUGAGGUUCGUUAGCUGUGGUAGGCAAUUCACCUAGGAGAGCAAACUCCGAACAAUAAACCCGGGCAGGUUGGGCUCGUGAGCCGUCAUAGGCAAUACACCUAGGAGAGCAAACUCCGAUCAUAAAACCCGGGCAGGUUGGGCUCGUGAGCCGUCAUAGGCAAUACACCUAGGAGAGCAAACUCCGAUCAUGAAACCCGGGCAGGUUGGGCUCGUGAGCCGUCAUAGGUAAUACACCUAGGAGAGCAAACUCCGAACAUAAAACCCGGGCAGGUGGAGCUCGUCAGCCGUGGUAGGCAGUCUGCCUAGGAGAGCAAACUCCGAACAAUAAACCCGGGCAGGUGGAGCUCGUCAGCCGUGGUAGGCAGUCUGCCUAGGAGAGCAAACUCCGAACAAUAAACCGGGGCUUGUGGUGCUCGUUAGAUGUCGUAGACAAUCCACGUGAUGGGAACACCAAAGAAAAGGAAAAUAAAAAGGAACACCAGAAAAAGGAAAAUAUAGUAACAAAACAUCAAGAAAAAAAAAAAACACAGAUCAUCCACCUUCAGGCCCUAACAUCUCCAAAAUUAUGGGUGAGUCUUUUCUGGGGAGAAAGAGGCUCAUCCAGACCAAAGAACAUCAAAAAGGGAUGAUAUAGAAAGGAACACCAAAAAAAUGGGAAAAAGAGAAAAAAACAUCGCAAAAGAAAAGUAACAACAAUAACAGAACAACGUCAAGAAAAGUAACAUACAAAGAAACAUCAUCCACCAUUCGGCCCCAAACUAACAUCACCAAAAUUAUGGGUGGGUCUCUUCUGGGAGGAAAGCGGCUCACCCAGACCAACGAAGAACAUCAACAAGAGGAUGAUAUGAAAUAAAAGAACAUUAAAAAACACGAAGAAAAGAAAUAAGAAGAAAAAGAACAGAAAAAAACCAUCGGAAAAGAAAAACAAGAAGAAAAACACAUCAAAAGAAAAAUAUAAGAAACAUCAUCCACCUUUCGACCCCUAACUAACAUCACCAAAAUUAUGGGUGGGUCUCUUCUGGGAGGAAAGCGGCUCACCCAGACCAAUGAACAUCGGCAAGAGGAUGAUAUGAAAUAAAAGAACAUCAAAAAAGAAAAACAACAGCAAGAAAACAAAGAAAAAGAUAAAGAAAAGAAAAGGAAAAAGAAACAAAUAGAAAAAAAAUAACACCAAAAUAAAAUAAAACAAAAACAAAAAAAUAAU